GUAGGUGGCAAGCGUUGUCCGGAAUUAUUGGGCGUAAAGCGCGCGCAGGCGGUUCUUUAAGUCUGAUGUGAAAGCCCACGGCUCAACCGUGGAGGGUCAUUGGAAACUGGAGAACUUGAGUACAGAAGAGGAAAGCGGAAUUCCACGUGUAGCGGUGAAAUGCGUAGAGAUGUGGAGGAACACCAGUGGCGAAGGCGGCUUUCUGGUCUGUAACUGACGCUGAGGCGCGAAAGCGUGGGGAGCAAACAGGGAUUAGGUACCCUGGUAGUCCACGCCGUAAACGAUGAGUGCUAAGUGUUAGGGGGGUUUCCCGCCCCCUUAGUGCUGCAGCUAACGCAUUAAGCACUCCGCCUGGGGGAUACGGCCGCAAGGCUG
rnacentral:rRNA from 1 species